UACGGAGGGUGCGAGCGUUGUCCGGAAUCACUGGGCGUAAAGGGCGCGUAGGCGGUCUGCUAAGCGUGUGGUGAAAGCUCGGGGCUCAACCCCGAGUCUGCCAUGCGAACUGGUGGACUUGAGCACUGUAGAGGCGGGUGGAAUUCCGGGUGUAGCGGUGGAAUGCGUAGAGAUCCGGAAGAACACUAGUGGCGAAGGCGGCCUGCUGGGCAGUUGCUGACGCUGAGGCGCGACAGCGUGGGGAGCAAACAGG
rnacentral:rRNA from 1 species